ACCUCCGACGCCGCCGACGCCGUUGCGAAAAGGCUGCUCGCCGCGCUCGCCUGGCUGGAUCCGGCCCCGGGGCAGCCGCCUGGCGGAGAGCACCGACCGCCUCCCCUCCUGCCGCCGCACGUGGCUGCGCUGAGCCGCCGGCUGCCGGGAGGGGGAAACGGGCAGCUCGGGAGCCGGAGAGGAGAAGCGCAGAGCCGCCAGCAGCGCAAGAGGCGGCGGCGGCGGCGGCGAAGUCUUGGCUGCCCCAAGUUUCCCCGAGCGAAAGGAGCGCGCUGCGAGGCAGGAGGCGGCGCCCGGCAGCAGCAGCAGCCGCGCCCUCUGCUCUCCGGCGCCCAGAGCCACGCACAGCCGGCUUUGCGCAGGAGUCGCUCGGGCAGCAUCCCGGCCAGGCGAGGCUCCGCAGCGCGCACAGCGCUCGUCUUUUCGCGCAGCCGAGAGAGCGAGUUUAAGCCCGGAACAGAGAGAAGAAAUAGCAGGCAAAAACUUCAGCAGAAGGAGGAAGCAGAAGCCAGACCAUCAUAAAAGAGGAUUUAAAAUGGUUAAUGCUUGAAGUAUCACCAUCAACCCUACACAGAUACACAGAGUAACUCCCAGCAAUGUCAUCUUAAAGGUAAAGGUAAAGGUACCCCUGCCCGUACGGGCCAGUCUUGACAGACUGUAGGGUUGUGCGCCCAUCUCACUCAAGAGGCCGGGGGCCAGCGCUGUCCGAAGACACUUCCGGGUCACGUGGCCAGCGUGACAAGCUGCAUCUGGCGAGCCAGCGCAGCACACGGAACGCCGUUUACCUUCCCGCUAGUAAGCGAUCCCUAUUUAUCUACUUGCACCCGGGGGUGCUUUUGAACUGCUAGGUUGGCAGGCACUGGGACCGAACGACGAGAGCGCACCCCGCCGCGGGGAUUCGAACCGCCAGCCUUUCGAUCGGCAAGCCCUAGGCACUGAGGCUUUUACCCACAGCGCCACCCGCGUCCCAAUGUCAUCUUAGUGUACUCAAUAAAGUAGAGGCAGGGAGAAAGGUUCAGUAAAGUAAUUCAAUGCCUGUGUGCCAACAGUUCAGUUACACCUUAGCACUGACGCUGGGUCUUGUGGCUCAGCCUUUCCCCCCCUGUGCUUAUUUAACUUUUUAAAAAGUUCCAGCACAUUAUUUUUUAACAUUCUGAUACCCUGUUUCUGAAAAUUCCCUCUUGUGACUCUGUCAGGCAUUCAUCUCCAUCAUCGCAGUGUUAACCGAGAGCCAGAUUUCACAGAAACCAGAUAACUGGAACUUCUGCUAAAGAGAUAAGGGCAUGUUUGGAUCCAUGUGUGUUUCGUUCACCUCAGAGGUGUGGAAGAAAUGAGCAAAUUUCCCUAAAUUGCUGCCAAGCUAGAAGGGAAACAAUAAAAGUUAUAAUUUGAGGAAUUUGGACCACAAUCAAAGGAAACACAGAUGUACCUAUAAAUUAGGGUGUGUGGCGUAUUAAAAUAUUGCUCUUUUAUUACUUGGGUGUUUAUAAAUAAAUGGAAUGAACUUAGUAGAUGAGAGGUUAUUUCAUUUUCAUCCUCUCAUUCCAUAGAGUAAAUACCAGGAAUUAUAUCCCUGUCUAAUUUGGGUGCAAUUGCACUAAAUCAGGUCGGAACAACUCAAGUGGGAGG
ensembl:lncRNA